rnacentral:rRNA from 1 species
GCAAAAUCACUAGUUCUUUAAUUGGGGACUUGAAUGAAGGGUUGGACGAGAGGUUAGCUGUCUUUAUUGAAGAGGUGGAAUUUAACUUUUAAGUGAGAGGGCUUAAAUAUCUUAAGGGGACGAUAAGACCCUAUAAAAUUUAACGAUCAUAUAUUGAUGGGGAGUAGGAUAAGGUUAAAAUUGUUGUCAAAAAUUAUAUUGUUUUGUUGGGGCGAUGGGAAUAUAAGUAAAUUAACUGUUCUUUAAUUGAAUUUCAAUGAUAGUUGUGAUUUAUGAUCCUUAUUAGAGAUUAAUAGAGUAAAUUACUUUAGGGAUAACAGCGUAAUUUUUUUUGAGAGUUCUUAUCGACAAGAGAGUUUGCGACCUCGAUGUUGAAUUAA